rnacentral:rRNA from 1 species
AACGAACGCUGGCGGCAUGCCUAACACAUGCAAGUCGAACGAGACCUUCGGGUCUAGUGGCGCACGGGUGCGUAACGCGUGGGAACCUGCCCUUAGGUUCGGAAUAACUCCCCGAAAGGGGUGCUAAUACCGGAUAAUAUCUUCGGACCAAAGAUUUAUCGCCUUUGGAUGGGCCCGCGUUGGAUUAGCUAGUUGGUAGGGUAAAAGCCUACCAAGGCGACGAUCCAUAGCUGGUUUGAGAAGAUGAUCAGCCACACUGGGACUGAGACACGGCCCAGACUCCUACGGGAGGCAGCAGUGGGGAAUGUUGGACAAUGGGCGAAAGCCUGAUCCAGCAAUGCCGCGUGAGUGAUGAAGGCCUUAGGGUUGUAAAGCUCUUUUACCCGGGAUGAUAAUGACAGUACCGGGAGAAUAAGCUCCGGCUAACUCCGUG